GACGAACGCUGGCGGCGUGCCUAAUACAUGCAAGUCGAACGAGCGGCGGACGGGUGAGUCAUGUCUGGGAAACUGCCUGAUGGAGGGGGAUAACUACUGGAAACGGUAGCUAAUACCGCAUACCAUCAGAUGUGCCCAGAUGGGAUUAGCUAGUAGGUGGGGUAACGGCUCACCUAGGCGACGAUCCCUCGCUGGUCUGAGAGGAUGACCAGCCAAACUGGAACGUGGACACGGUCCGUACUCCUACGGGAGGCAGCAGUGGGGAAUAUUGCACAAUGGGCGCAAGCCUGAGACAGCCAUGCCGCGUGUGUGAAGAAGGCCUUCGGGUUGUAAAGCACUUUCAGCGGGGAGGCGUUACCCGCAGAAGAAGCACCGGCUAACUCCGUGCCAGCAGCCGCGGUAAUAC
rnacentral:rRNA from 1 species